UGGGGAAUCUUAGACAAUGGGCGCAAGCCUGAUCUAGCCAUGCCGCGUGAGUGAAGAAGGCCUUCGGGUUGUAAAGCUCUUUCGGCGGGGAAGAAAUGGCAACGGCUAAUAUCCGUUGUUGAUGACGGUACCCGCAUAAGAAGCACCGGCUAACUACGUGCCAGCAGCCGCGGUAAUACGUAGGGUGCAAGCGUUAAUCGGAAUUACUGGGCGUAAAGCGUGCGCAGGCGGUUAUGUAAGACAGAUGUGAAAUCCCCGGGCUCAACCUGGGAACUGCAUUUGUGACUGCAUGGCUAGAGUACGGUAGAGGGGGAUGGAAUUCCGCGUGUAGCAGUGAAAUGCGUAGAUAUGCGGAGGAACACCGAUGGCGAAGGCAGCCUCCUGGGCCAGUACUGACGCUCAUGCACGAAAGCGUGGGGAGCAAACA
rnacentral:rRNA from 1 species